rnacentral:rRNA from 1 species
CGCUAUCACUCCUACGGGAGGCAGCAGUGGGGAAUAUUGCACAAUGGGCGCAAGCCUGAUGCAGCCAUGCCGCGUGUAUGAAGAAGGCCUUCGGGUUGUAAAGCACUUUCAGUAGGGAGGAAGGUAGUGUAGUUAACACCUGCAUUAUUUGACGUUACCUACAGAAGAAGCACCGGCUAACUCCGUGCCAGCAGCCGCGGUAAUACGGAGGGUGCGAGCGUUAAUCGGAAUUACUGGGCGUAAAGCGCAUGCAGGCGGCCUGUUAAGUCAGAUGUGAAAGCCCGGGGCUUAACCUCGGAAUUGCAUUUGAAACUGGCAGGCUAGAGUCUUGUAGAGGGGGUAGAAUUUCAGGUGUAGCGGUGAAAUGCGUAGAGAUCUAAAGGAAUACCAGUGGCGAAGGCGGCCCCCCUGGACAAAGACUGACGCUCAGAUGCGAAAGCGUGGGGAGCAAACAGGAUUAGAUACCCUGGUAG